UAAGCUCUUUCCACCUCGUUUGUUGCAAUUAGCUAACCCAUGUUUUAUUUUUCACUCAAUUGUUUUCAAUUUUCGCCAAAAAAAUCCCUUCCCUAUUUUUUUCUUUUUAAACCUCUUUUUUUAGAAACACACGCAGAGAGAUAUGAAGAAGCGAAAGAAGAAGAUCACCUACCAACGUCGUUUUCAACAUAUUGUUUGGUCUUAGCACAAAUCUACGGCAUGACAUCCACGCACAAAUCUACUUCAUACUUAUGUUGUUCAUUAUGUUGAACACCAAAGUGGUGGAAAUGAAGCUUGUUCGGGACAAAGAGGGUUUUGAUUUUCGACGUCCACAUACAUUUUUUUCUAAGGGAUUCCAUUUGGAAUAAGAACUGUCGAUCCAUCGAUUCUAACAUGGCCUUUGUGGGUUAUGUUGAGAGUGUUUCGAAUCUAUACACUUCAGAGAUACGUUCCAUGUGGCUGGCUGAUCUAAUUGAUGACAAAUUUAAGCUCCAAGAGUGCUUAGAAGAUGCUUACACAAACAAUUGAUUAAGGACAUGGAAACAAUGAAAAAAUCUACUUACAAAAGGAAUUGCAUCACAACAUUUGGUAUCAAUCAUAAUGAUGAAAUACAUGAAUAUUUGGGUUGGCAUACUUGGAGGAAGAAGAACUUCAAAGAGAUAUUUACUCCUUACACUGUUGGAGACUAUAAGAAGAAAGAUUGAGAUUUCUAUUUGGUUCAUAACGACUGUUCUAUUUUAUUGUUGCAUUUAAUAUGAUGAUUUUGUGCAUGAAAAAAAUGUAGGUGGAUAUUCAAUAUAAGUUGUGUGUUCCUUGUUCUUUAUAAAGAAUAAUUGAUCGGUUAAUUUUUCUUUUUUUUACUGAA